rnacentral:rRNA from 1 species
CACGUAGGCACCAAGCGUUGUCCGGAUUUAUUGGGCGUAAAGAGCUCGUAGGCGGUUCAGUAAGUCGGGUGUGAAAACUCUGGGCUCAACCCAGAGACGCCACCCGAUACUGCUGUGACUUGAGUACGGUAGGGGAGUGGGGAAUUCCUGGUGUAGCGGUGAAAUGCGCAGAUAUCAGGAGGAACACCAGUGGCGAAGGCGCCACUCUGGGCCGUAACUGACGCUGAGGCGCGAAAGCGUGGGGAGCGAACAGG